UAUCUGUGAUCAUUAAUUUUCUGUGUCAACGUGGCUGGGUCACAGAGUUUCUGUGAGGGUGUCUUUGGAUGAGAUG